rnacentral:lncRNA from 1 species
UCUUUGAUUUAUGUUCAUAUCUCCUAGAUCUUGUGUUAUGAUUUAGAAAAUUUCUAACAGCACUCUAUAGCUCCAUGCAGAAUUCUAAUUAGUGCCACCUUAAAACCAUAAGCCCUAUCUUCCUCCUCGGAUUCCAGAAUUCUAGGGUUUUGCAUUGUAAUUAAGGGGGGGUGUAGAUCUCAGAAAGCAACUGUGGCUAUGGAUCUAAGGGUGGGAGAGGGCCGGUUAGGUUGCUCAAAAUGGUGGAUGGAGUGUAUUUAGUAAAUUGCCAAUCACUCUCUCGUUCUAGCAUUUGAAUAAGAGAAAUUACUCACCCCAACCUUCAAAAAAGUUUAUUUGUGAUUAUGAUUGACCUAUAUUACUAGCAUUUUUAGCUUGACACUUAUCAGCGUGUCUCUUUAAGUAGUUUGUACCGUUGAUAGAACUUGUAAAAAUACAUUCACAGUAAUUACAAAAAGCUUUAUUCACUAUUUUUUCAUUUUCAGUGAUUGAACUAGUUGAAAAUAUUGCCAAACUAUCGAUCUUACUCUCUUAGAUGUCCUACCGACGCUACUAGAUGUGCUCGUGUUGGCAGCGGGUUCGAUUGAAUUAUUUGAGGUCAUUUCAGGUAUAUUAUCAUCACUCUAGGCCUUAAACUCAUUGUAUCUAGCCUCUUCAAAAUCUUUUAAAAUGUAUCAUGAUCCAUUUUUUUUAAAAGUAUUUUUUUUAAAUACUAACGAUAAAAUAAAAUAAAUUUUGAUACAACAAUACCUCAAGUCCGAAGCGUUUACAAUAUCGGGAUUCAACACUUCUUCACAUUUGAGAAAUUUCAAGCAAUCAAGUAAUUGAAAUUUCUUCAACACUUUCAGAAAAUUAAAAUCUUCUUGAUAUUUGUAGAAUAUUGAGAGGUAAGUAUAGAAUUAUUAGAUUGAGUAAAAAUUGAGUAAUAAAAAAGUAUGGAGGAUUAGAGGUAUUUAUAAGAAAUUUUGUGAGCUCAUUUGAUCAAUUUAUAGUUGUUGUGGAGGGGUAUUUGAGUUAUUUAUAGCUCAAUUAUCAUUUCACUCAAAAACUAGUAGUUAUAUAGUUGCUGACGGGCCGAGCGAGUUGGGUGGCGUGGUGGGCCGUGCUAGUUGGGUUUCGUGUCCAAACGGGCGAGGCCGGACUUCGUUAGGAGUACCUAGCCUAAGUCCGGUUGGCGGCGAGCUUUAGGCCAUACCCAUGCUCGAAUGGGCCAACCGACCUAGCCCGUGCCAAGUCCAGGCCGUACAGAGGGCGGGCUCAUCAGACUGAACUUCUAAAUGCAAACAAAAGAAGUAUAGGGUUAAAUUUGAAAAAAAUAAAAUACUAAGGUUUAAUCAGUUACAAUGGUUAAAACUUGGACUUUUUAUGUAGUUUUCUCCAAUAAUUUCUAUUUUAAAAGGAAAUUAAUUUUCUAUUUUAUAUAUUUAAAAUAAAAAUAAAAAAGAUAGAGAAUGACGAGAAGGGAAAAAAAUUAAUUAAAAUGGUGAUACCACGUCACCGUUGCCACGUAGUAUAUAAUUCAAUUACAAACUGCCAUGUUUGCAUAAAUGUUAACAUAUCAGUUAUUAAAUUCACCAUCUAGAGUUCCUCAUUUUAUUUGUAAGUUUAUUAAUAAUUAGUUAUACUAUGUUAUCAAUACCACGUGAUAUAAUAAUUACAUUGAAGAUUUACUUGACGAGAAGGACAGGGGAAAACGAAAAAAAGACACAAAUUAAAAUUAAAUAGUGAGAAAGUCAAAGCUAAUUAAUGGAGAGAGAGAACCAACCAAUUAUAAGUUAGGGAAUAAUUUUUUCGUCCUGGCACAGCAAGAUUUUAUGAUUUUGAUAUUCUAAUUUGACCCUUUUAAUUUGAUAUUAAGAUUGAUUGUUUCACUAAUGUGAUAAUUUUUUAAAAACAUGAAUGACACGUGCUAUUAUCAUUCAAUACUAAAUUAUUAUGUAAGUAUAAUGAAUCUCAUUAUAUUUAUAUUAUGGUUAUUUAUUUUUUAAAAUUGACAAUUUCGUUCAAGUAAUAAGUUUCUUUUAUUUUUUAUAAAUAUUCAUUAUUAAAUUGUAAGAACACGUAUCGCUGUUAUAAAUGAAUUUUUACUCGUUAAUGAUGGAUUGGGACCCCAUGGAUAUUUCUCCUCCGAAGAUCAUGCGGAGAUUUUCACCUCAUCGUGCCAUGUGCUUUUUUUCAUCCUUGGCCUAAAAAGAAGCUUUGACGUGAAGACAAGAUCUUUUAAAUAGGACCGGACAUCAUCGUUUCACGACGGUGGCUGCUUGAAAGUAACGCUGUACCCUUGUUUUAUUUUACUCUAAUCAAAUUGUUUUAAUAGUUGUCUUUCUAAUUUCUACAACUCGAAUUUUGUAGGCUAGCAAAUAUGAUAAAAAAUCAGAAUAUAAAAAUUUAAGAAUUAGGAAAGGCACAUUUAGAAUGCAUAUUUAAGAUAGUAAUUUUCUCGCUAUGAUGCAAAUAAACUCUUGAAAAUUUUAUCUCAAAAAUACAAUGCCUAUUAAUUUAAGAUUAAUUAAGGCUGCACUCCUUAAUAAUCUUAGGAUCAGAAUAUCACCCCAAAAAAGAAUAAUAAUAAAGAAUAGAAAGAGAGAAAAAUUUUCACUUCAUUUUGGAUUUCUUUAGUCUUAUUUAUAGAGAAUCAAGGAUAUCUCAAACUAUCAUACAUUUUCACUGAUAUGGGACUAAAGCCUCAAUCGUUUAAAGUUCGUAAUUUUUUGCAUACUAGCCGUUUUGGACAAAGUUCCAAUGGUCAAAAUUAUAGCCGUUGUGAGAUGAAGUCCCAACAGACUAAAAUUAAAACGAAACAACGCAUACUAAAUUAAACGAUAUUAAAACAAUCAUUAAUUAAAAUAAUAAUUAUUAUCAUUAAUUUAAAUUUUAAACUAAAAUCUCAUUUUUUUUCUCCUUUAUAUAUAUAUAGUUGAAAAGAAUAGAAGAAGAAUUUGUAGUAUGCUGAGAUCGAGAUCAUAAGUAUUUAUACACAAAGUAAAUUAAGUGAGGGGGAACAUGAUCCCUAAUUUAGGCUAAAAGUAAUGGGACAUGAUUCCUAAUUUAGGCUAAUAGUAAGGGGACAUGAUCCCUAAUUUAUGUCCUAAAUUGUGCCAUAAUAUAUGACACAAUAUAUUCUAAUCAAUCCUUAUUUUCAACACUUUCCCUCGAGCUGAGAGAAGAUACCAAUCAAGCUCCCAGUUUGACAAUAGAGGACUAAAGCGGAGACCGAACAAACUGGAAGACCCUAAUGGGAAAAGACAUUGAAAAAUUGAUAGAAAAGGCUAUGCAAGAUUGCAGGUUGAACGAUGCAGUAAGAGGCUGUGUAGAGAUAGUAAAGGCCCAAACGUCUAAAAGACCUCAAGAUAUCGACGACAAAGGCUAUGUGAGGUCGUAGACUGCAAGAGGCUGCAGGAUGUUGCAUGAGGCAAUAUGAGACUGCAAAGGGGUUGCAGGAAGGCCUAAAAGGCUGCACAAAGGCCGCAGGAAUAUCCAAGAGGUUGCAGGAAGUCUGCAGGAAGCUCCAAGAGACUGCAAGAAGUUUUAGAAGCCUGUAGGAGGCUGUUGGGGGCUGGAAAAGGGGUUGUAAGAGGCUGCAGGAAGGAAGCAGGGGCUGCAUCCGGCCACGACAGAGCCGACAACGAUGACGAAAGUCGAAGGGGCUAACCAAGAGCAACCUUGCUCUGAUACCAAGUUAAAAAGAAUAGAAAAAAAAUUUGUAGUAUAUUAAGAUUGAUCUGAUACUUCUUUGGGUAAAUAUCACUGACCUCCUCCUGAGGUUUAGUAUAAAGACAGGAAGCUCCCCUGUACUUUUGAAAAAUUACGGCUGACCUCCCCGCAGACUUUGUCUCCCCCAUUUUGCAAGCCAAAAUUAUCAUUUUGCCCCCCUCACUCACGCCCGGCACCGCCCCCCCCCCCCCCCCCCCCCCCCCGAUUUUUUUUUUUAAUUUUUUAUUAAGUUUUUUUAUCUAAUUUAUUUCUCUUUUUUAUAGGUUUUAUUCUUUGGGAUAAAUUAUUAUAUUUUUUUUUGUUUUGUUACUUUUUUUAUUAAUAAUUUUCUUUUUAUUAGUUUGGUCUCUUUUUUUAUUAAAAAAUUAGUUAUUACUAAUAACAAAACACUAAUCAAAAAAAUAGUUUUUUGUUUAUUAUUAUUUUUAUUAUGUUUUUUGUUUAAUUUUUGUAUUUUAUAUAUAUGUUUUUAUUUUAAUUCAUAUUUUAAUACUUUUUUUAAUUUUUAUAAUAUGACUCUCAAAAUAAAUUUGUUAAAAAAUAAAAAAAACUACUCAAAUUAAAAUAAACAAACUAAAUAAAAAAAUAAAAAAAAUGAAAGAAGAGAUAGCAAAAUUUGUUUAGGCUGUUUUUCUUCAUUCAUUUUUUUUUAUUUUUAUUAGUUUUGUUUAUUUGAUUUUAUUUUUUUUUUUAAUUUUUUAAAAUCAAUUUUGGGCGUCAUUAUUAUAAAUUUAAAAAAAUAUAAAAAUAUUAAUCAAAAUAAAAAACAUAUCUAUAAAAAUAACAAAUUAAACAAGAAAAAUUAAUAAAAAUAAUAAUAAAGAAAAAACUAUUUUUUUUUAUUUAGUUUAUUUUGUUUAUUAUGUAAUAACUAAUUUUUAAUAAAAAGAACAACUAAAUAAAAAUAAAAUUAUAUUAAUAAAAAAAGUCAAAACAAAAAAAAAUAUAUAAUUUAUCCAAAAGAAAAAUAAAACCUAUAAAAAGGAGAAAUAAAUUAGAUUUAAAAAAACUUAAUAAAAUAAAAAAAAAUCGGGGGGGGGGGGGGGGGGGGGGGGGGGGGGUUGGUGGGCUGCUGCUGAGUGAGGGGGGGUAAAAUGUAAUUGUUGCUUGCAAUAAUGGGGAGACAAAGUAUGACAGGGGAGAUCAGUGUAAUUUUUCAAGUACCGGGGAGCUUCCUGUCUUAUACUAAAAACCUCAGGGGAGGUCAUUAUAUUUACCGCUAAUUAUUUAUACAUGAAGUAAAGAAAGUGAGGGGUAACAUGAUCCCUAAUUUAGGCUAAAAAUAAGGGGAUAUGAUCUCUAAUUUAUGUCCUAAAUUGUGCCAUAGUAUAUAGCACAAUAUAUACGUCUCUCUCUCUCUCUCUAUAUAUAUAUAAGAAAAAUAGUAAAAGCAAACUAUGAGGUUUUUCAAAUGAGGAAUUUCAAAACUUGAGGAGAAAAUACCACUCAAAUACUUAGCUAAGCAAUGUGGGAUAAAUAUUCUCUCACAAAAAGAGAAUCACUACCAUAAAGAGCUUACCUUAGUAAUGUGGGAUAAAUUUCUCUUAUAUAAUGAAAGUCAUUUUCACUAGAAGCUUUUUAAGUAAUGUAGGGCAAACAUAUGUUAUAUAUAAAGACUCUCUCUCAGUAAAAACUUAGCUUACCAACAUGGAACAAAAUUUGCACUCACAUAAAUCUCUUUCAAGCUUAAAAAAUUAUUAAUAUAAAUGAUAUUCUUAUUAAUUAUUAGUAAAUAUAUUAUAAUAUAUAACACUACGAAUUUUGUAGGCUAGCUAAGUAGGGAGAGGAUAUUGGUGGUAGAAUAGGGUUCGGUUUCAGACCCGUAUCCUUCAUAUUCAUUCAAAUUUUUCUUGUGGACUCAUCUUGUAGCACUCAUUGUGUUGGUUAUUCAGCAAAAAAUCUAUCAUUGAAUAUUCGUAAACAUAAGAACAAAUUGCAUUUUUAAAAAUAAAACUAGUAGUUGUCUGUGUAUCGUCCAUACAAAAAAUCAACAAUUAAAUAUCCGUAAAUAUAAGAACAAAUUUUAUUUUUUUAAAUAAAUGUAGCAGUUGCCUCGUGCGAUGCACGUGAUUAAGAAUAUUUCUAAUUUUUUUAAAAGUUCAAUUAAAGUUAAAGACACACAGAGAAAUAAAAUAGUUAUAAAAAUAUUAUGAGUUGAAAGAGAAUCUAUUAAGAUUUAAAAAAAAAUCACAUAAAACUAACAAAUAUAGAUAUGAUAAAAUAUUUAUCAAAUAUGUGAGUAUGAGUUGAAUUUGUGGAGCUUAUCUUAAUUGUAACAAAUAUUUUUUAUUUAACCUGAAAUAAAGAAGAUAACCUAAAAAAAUCAAGCAAAGUUAAAAAUGGACCAAGUGAAAAAAUACUUACAAAAAAAAGAUUAUGAGAACAAAUACAUCCAUGAAAACUAAGAAAAAAACUAAAAGAUCCACACAAAAAUAGAUAAGAAAAUAUAUAUUGAAGAUAACCAUUUUGGGAUGAGCCCAUAAUAACUUUGACACCUUAUUUUGUUGUUUUAAGAAUUUAAAUUGGUGCAUAUUUUUUUUAAAGAUUUAAUUACUCUGUAAUUUAUUUUUAUAAAAAUUAAGUUAUUAAUUGAAAUAUAGAGUUUGAUAGGUUUUAAACUCUUAUUUAAUUAAAGUUUAUAAUUUAUAGGAAUUAAUAUAUAUAACUAUAAAUAAUUUUUAUAUAUUUAUCUGUUAUUGUUGUUGUGUUUUUUUCCCCCUAAUAAAACAUAUUAUUUAAUUCUAAGAUAAAUUUAGAUUUAAAUAUUCUUUUAUUUUAAUAAUAAUAAAUUAAAUAUAAAGUUUAAUUGUUUUAAAAUCCUUACGAAGUCAUGUACUAAAAUCUAUACUUUUGCAUUUAUACCUAAUUUGUAUUGGUUACAACUCUUUAUAAUUUGAAUUUUUUUAUAAAUUAAAAAACUUAUUUAUCUAAUCUAUAGGACUAUCACUGCCACGUGGCAUUUUAAAAAUAAAAAGUAUAGAGAGUGCCAUAUAGGCGCAGCCACGUGGCAUUUUAAAAAUAAAAAGUAUAGAGAGUGCCAUAUAGGCGCAACAUAAGAGAGAGAAAAAAUUGGGUAAAAUUCUAUUUUUAAUAAUAUAUAUAAAAAACGAUUGUUAUAACUAUAAACUUAAAUCGUUCAUUUAUUUUAAUAAAAAUGCGAUUAUUUAUGUGUUUAUAAAAUUCAGGUAAAAUUGAUUUUUUUUCACGGAUGAAAGGGAUACGAGAUGAAUGGUUCAUGUGCUCAAUGUGAGCUCGGGAACCCAUAUGAGGAAUUUGGAUGAGUAUUGGACAUGGGUCUGGGGUGAGCUGAACCUGGUAGAAUAGAUUUGAUCAGACGCCAACACUAGCGGUGGCAGGUGUCUGUGCCGCCACCAUCAUCAUCAUCCAUUGCAGAAGAUUCUCAACAAAGUUGGAAAGGUAAUUUCUCAUUCAAUUAAACCAAAAGCUCCACAUAAGGAUUCGAUUGCUGGUGCCUCAAAUAUGUUCUGCCAAAAAAAUUGGGUCUAAUUUUUUGUUUGGGAAAAUUGUCGAUUGAAUUUGCAAGUGAGUUAACUAUAUGGAAAAAGGUCUCCCGAAACUUUUUUUAUUAAUUCUGUUUCAUAUGCUCAAUUUGUUAUGGGUUUUUAAAGUGUGUUGUCUUCGAAUUAGGAGAAUAUAGUCUGGCUUUGGAUUUGGUCAGAGCAUUGUUUUUAAACCGGUUGAUGUUUAACCGGUCUAGUUUCUCGUCUGUCAUUUAAUCUCAUUUUCUAGGUCAAAUCGCCUUGAAUCCCAUGGACCGCUGGCUCAGCCGGUUGACCAUUGGAACUAGCCACGGUUAGACAUAACCGGCCGAGUUAUGCUUCAAAAGACUUGAGGUAAAAAACGGAUGCCGAUCAGUAUGGCGCUAGGGUAAAACCCUCCAGAGACUAGUGUUCUUAACAAUUAGUUGCAAAGAAAAUAAUAGGGUCAAUUUCAUUUUUACCCCUUCGAGUUCGACCUAAGUUUUAUUUUAGUCCUUAUAGUUUUAAUUUGAACAAAGUAAAUCUUAUAAUUUUUUAUUAGUUGCAAUGUUAUCCCUUUACCCGAUGGUGUUAGAUUUUUGGAUAAAAAUGUAUAAUUAUAAGGACUAAAGUGAAGUUUGGUUCAAACUCAAAGGGGUAAAAGAAAAAUUAACCCUUCUUUAUAUUUUUAAGAAAUAUUUUAGCUUGUAAUCAUAUUAAAAAAAUCAACACUAAGAUUUAUUGUACAUUGUAAACACACUCAUGUAAAAUGUAAACACUUUUAAAAAUAUUAAUUGAUGUUCUUAAGACACUCAUUAACAAAAUCUUUUAAAAAAAAUAACUUAAAAGGAUUUUAAAAGGGAUUGUACAUUCUAGCACGAGAGCACAUAAAAUGUGCAAUCAAUUUUAGUAUUAAUUUUUUAAGUGCACUUGUUAAAAAAAUUAUUUUUUCCUUUUAUAUCUUCGGUGACCUUUUUAUUAACUUAUUCUCUCCCUCUCUUACUUUUAAAUGAUUCAGGUCUAGAGGCAAAUAAAAAAUAUAAGAAAAAAAUAUUAAUAAUUUUUAUUUAGGACAACAAAGUCCUAUUUUUAAAAAAAUUAGGACAAGAAGUUCAGUUCUCAAAAUAAGUAUUUAUUUAUUUAUACUUUCGUUUUUUAAACAAAUAUAUUUAUUUUUGUUAAUGGCCAUUGUAAUUUGGUUUUUUAAUUUUUUAAAUUUAAAAAUAAUUUCAAUUUUUUUUAUUCAGAAAACAUAUAAAAAAUUUAUUUAAAAUUAAUAUUAAUAUUUUUUAUACAUAAGGUUACUAUACUAGUAUUAGUAGUUUAUACUGAAAAUACAUAUGCAAGUUUUUUAAUAACUACAUUCACAUUUCGUCUUUUAGUUCUUACCAUUUUUAAAAAAAUAAUAUGCUACUAAAGUAUUUUUUUAUUUUCAAAUAAAAAAUUAGAUAAAACGUAUGUGAUUUUUAGGUAAACCUAAUUUUUGAAAUAUUUAUGCUAUAAAAAAUUAUAGUUGGUUAAGAUAUUUCGACUCUAGAAUUCAUAUAAAGUUAUAAAAAUAAAUUCGUAAUUUAUUAUAAAAUUUAACUGAAAUUGGGAUCUCAAGGUGUAAAAAUAGAAUACAUCAUACUAUUAAUUUUUUUCUUAUAUACGUUAAAAUUAUUUUAAUGUCUAAUUUUUAUGUAUUUAUUAGUCAUGGCUCAUUAAAAGAAUAGGUCAAAAAGGAGAUAAUAAUAUUAUUAUUGAGAUUUGAAUUUAAUUGUUCUAAUUUUUGUAAAAUAAAACUUAAUUGUUCAAAUAAAAAAUUGAUAGGACUCAAUGGUCAUUUGCAAUAAAAAAGUACUACUUAUUAGAGAUUUUUUCAAAAUAUAAUCUUUUAUAAAAUUAGGAGAAAAGCAAUCUAGACAAAAUUUGGUUGACUUUUCUUUUAAAUAUAAUCCAUAUUAUAACAUUUAAGUUAAUAAGAAAAAUUCAAAAGUACAUAAAAAAUAUUUUUUUCUUUUGUCAAAAUCAAAUUAAAAAAAAAAUAAAGUAAAAAAAUAUGAUUAGAAAGGUUAAUUUUUCUUUUACCCCUUUGAGUUUGACAUAAGUUUUACUUUAAUUCUUAUAAUUCCAACUUUCCUUUUAAAAACUUCAGUCCAUGUUUAGUGCACCAUUCCAUUGCUGCAUAUGGGAGCUCCAUGGGCAUCACUUGCAAAUUUGUGUACCUUGCAAGAAAAUAAAGAGUUCGUAUUAGAGAUUUCAAAAUGAAAAGUCAUGAACACGUCCAACUUGUAGAAUACAUGAGGUGAAUGUACUGUUAGUAUGUUAGCAAUGUGUAGUAAAUUCUGUAUCUGUAUAUAGCAAUUUAAUAUCAUUACUUCCCUUGUAGUCGAUGAUAUUAUGGAAAUCUUUAACCAUGGUGUUUCAAAAUGGCAUUUUCUACUGAAGCCUGUGACCAUGUGAGCGGAAGAGAUGAAGCUGAGGUAGCGCAUGUUGGUCACUCUGCCCUUCUAAUAAUGAUACUUGGUCUGGUGAAAAGACCAGGAGAACCCUCUUCACAAUUUCCUUUCAUUCAAACGAAAAAGAGAUGAAAAGGCACAAGAUUCGUCGUGGGUCGUGUUAGACGUUGCUAGUGCGUUAAUCAUUAAGGAAUCAUCAUCUAUACAAUUCAAGAACACUGACCCGGAUCAAAACCAUCCAUUGGAGAGUGGCAAAACACGACAAAGGCAGCAGAGACCAGGUGUGAGAGACAAAGCAACCGAGAGAGAGAGAGAGCGAAAGUGAAGUAGCAUAGCUGAGAGCCUAAGACCCCUCCAGAAUAAUAUAUGAAAAGAUCAUUAUAUCAGAGGGUACUAUUCCUAUUUAUAGAGGGUUAUAUGUGACCUAUAUGACUAGCCAAUAAUAUGCCGGAUAUAUGCCAAG